AACGAACGCUGGCGGCGCGCCUAAUACAUGCAAGUCGAGCGAGAAGACGUAGCAAUACGUUUGUAAAGCGGCGAACGGGUGAGGAAUACAUGGGUAACCUACCCUCGAGUGGGGAAUAACUAGCCGAAAGGUUAGCUAAUACCGCGUACGCUCCUUGGACUUCGGUUCAGGGAGGAAAGCGAUACCGUGGGUAUCGCGCUCUUGGAUGGGCUCAUGUCCUAUCAGCUUGUUGGUGAGGUAACGGCUCACCAAGGCUUCGACGGGUAGCUGGUCUGAGAGGACAAUCAGCCACACUGGCACUGCGACACGGGCCCAGACUCCUACGGGAGGCAGCAGUGGGGAAUAUUGGUCAAUGGGCGAAGCCUGAACCAGCAAUGCCGCGUGAGUGAUGAAGGCCGUCGGUUGGUUAAG
rnacentral:rRNA from 1 species